GAACCGCUUAUAACUUUUGAACGGCUUGACCGAUUUCAUCGCGGUUGGUGCCGCAUUGAACUACUCAUUAAAGGUGUUUUUGAAGUAUACUGGCCAACGCAAAAUGGCCCAAAUGUUUCAACUUGUGGUAGAUUCAAAAAUAAUUGGAACAAGAUCGAUAAAUCAAAAUACAGUGCAGGAAUUAAUGAUCCUAUUGUUGCUCAAGUACUAUCAGAGAAAAAAGACGAACCAUUGGAUUUCAUUGAAAGUUAUUCGCAGGAGCUUAAAAAAAAAUGAGCAACCAUUUGUGGUAUUUAAGUGACAAAUUAGCCAUAAUUUCUCUAUUCGACGAUGCUGUAGAACCGGAAGUAAAGAAAAAAAUGGUAAAAAAUUAAAAAAAUCAGAACCCUAUAAAAACUAAAGCCAGAAAAUGUGAAUUUGACUACAAAAACUUACAUGAAUUUUUACACAAAGAUUGAAGAAGUCGACAAGUGGUCCAGCAUCGAUAGUUUGCAGGAAUGUCAACAAUUUUUUAGUAAACUGGCUGUUGUCAAUGAUGUCGCGGAAUGUGGUGUAGCGCUAAUUGAAGAUUACAAUCAAUGCCUUACUAAAGACGAAGGAAAUCUCCAAUAUUUAAUACUAG